AACGAACGCUGGCGGCAUGCCUAACACAUGCAAGUCGAACGAGACCUUCGGGUCUAGUGGCGCACGGGUGCGUAACGCGUGGGAACCUGCCCUUAGGUUCGGAAUAACUCCCCUUUAUGGGUGCUAAUACCGGAUAAUGUCUUCGGACCAAAGAUUUAUCGCCUUUGGAUGGGCCCGCGUUGGAUUUGCUAGUUGGUGGGGUAAAGGCCUACCAAGGCGACGAUCCAUAGCUGGUCUGAGAGGAUGAUCAGCCACACUGGAACUGAGACACGGCACAGACACCGACAGGAGGAAGCAGUGGAGAAUAUUGGGGAAGGGGGGAGAGCGGGAUCCAGCAAUACCGCGUGAGGGAAGAAGGAGUUCGGGCUGGAAAGCGCUGAUGUUGGGAAAGAAAAGAAGCAGGUUAAUACCGCGCGGUAAUGACAGUACCGAAAGAAUAAGCACCGGCUAACUCCGUG
rnacentral:rRNA from 1 species